CCUACGGGAGGGCAGCAGUGGGGGAAUUUUGGACAAUGGGCGCAAGCCUGAUCCAGCCAUGCCGCGUGUGGGAAGAAGGCCUUCGGGUUGUAAACCACUUUUGUCAGGGAAGAAACGGCUUUUUCUAAUACAGAGAGCUAAUGACGGUACCUGAAGAAUAAGCACCGGCUAACUACGUGCCAGCAGCCGCGGUAAUACGUAGGGUGCAAGCGUUAAUCGGAAUUACUGGGCGUAAAGCGUGCGCAGGCGGCUUUGCAAGACAGAUGUGAAAUCCCCGGGCUCAACCUGGGAACUGCAUUUGUGACUGCAUGGCUAGAGUACGGUAGAGGGGGAUGGAAUUCCGCGUGUAGCAGUGAAAUGCGUAGAUAUGCGGAGGAACACCGAUGGCGAAGGCAAUCCCCUGGACCUGUACUGACGCUCAUGCACGAAAGCGUGGGGAGCAAACAGGAUUAGAUACCCUGGUAGUCCACGCCCUAAACGAUGUCAACUGGUUGUUGGACGGCUUGCUGUUCAGUUAACGAAGCUAACGCGUGAAGUUGACCCGCCUGGGGAGUACGGCCGCAGGUUGAAACGUUAAGNGAAUUGACGG
rnacentral:rRNA from 1 species